rnacentral:lncRNA from 1 species
UUGAUUUCUGUACAUAGUUUUUUGAAGGGACUCUUCUUUGAAAGCAACUCAUCUCCAGUAAUUUGUUUCCGUGUGCUUUAUUUAUCCUUUAUUAGUUUUCUUUCAAGUGUUAAUUUUGAUCUUAUAUUUUUUUCCCGAUGAAUCACACGGCAAACGAGGAUCAUAACACGAAGUAGCCCAAGCAUUGAAUGUCUCGAUCCUUCCAAAGUGAAUGGUGGUUCAUUGUGGUAAAAAGAAACAUAUACAUAUUAUUUAUAUGAACGUCACAUGAUACUUUUAUUGUUGUUUAUAGGUUCAACUUGUAGCUGAUCAUAUACUUGAAGAUGAAAGCGCAAGGCUAAUUACCCGAAGGAUUUGAAGAAGAUGCAGCUGAUCAUAUGCUUGAAGACGAUAUCGUAACAACCGAAGAGCAAAUAUUUUACUUUUUAUUAGUUUAUGUAGCUUUCAAAUUAUUGCUGGUAUUUCUCUAAUAAUGCAUUAUUUUAACUUUUAAUAUUUUAGUUUAUUUAAUAAUGUUAUUCAUUUGGUUUUUGUGUUAUUGUAAAAUAUAUUUACUGUAAAAAUAAAUAAUACAUCUAAUAUUAUUAUAA